rnacentral:rRNA from 1 species
UGCGUCGUCAGCUCGUCCGUGAGGUGUUGGGUUAAGUCCCGCAACGAGCGCAACCCCUGUUCUUAGUUGCCUUCGGGAUAAGAAGAGCGCGACAAGCCGGAGGAAGGGGGGAGACGUCAAGUCCUCAUGGCCCUUACGCUUAGGGCUACACACGUGCUACAAUGGCCGGUACAAAGGGCUGCAAGCCCGCGAGGGGGAGCGAAUCCCAAAAAGCCGGUCUAAGUGACAGUCUGCAACCCGACUGCAUGAAGUCGGAAUCGCUAGUAAUCGUGCAUCAGCCCAUGCACGGUGAUA